GAUGAACGCUGGCGGCGUGCCUAAUACAUGCAAGUAGAACGCUGAAGGAAGGAGCUUGCUCUUUCCGGAUGAGUUGCGAACGGGUGAGUAACGCGUAGGUAACCUGCCUGGUAACGGGGGAUAACUAUUGGAAACGAUAGCUAAUACCGCAUAACAGUAGAUGUUGCAUGACAACUAUUUGAAAGGGGCAAUUGCUCCACUACCAGAUGGACCUGCGUUGUAUUAGCUAGUUGGUGAGGUAACGGCUCACCAAGGCGACGAUACAUAGCCGACCUGAGAGGGUGAUCGGCCACACUGGGACUGAGACACGGCCCAGACUCCUACGGGAGGCAGCAGUAGGGAAUCUUCGGCAAUGGACGGAAGUCUGACCGAGCAACGCCGCGUGAGGGAAGAAGGUUUUCGGAUCGUAAAGCUCUGUUGUAAGAGAAGAACGAGUGUGAGAGUGGAAAGUUCACACUGUGACGGUAUCUUACCAGAAAGGGACGGCUAACUACGUG
rnacentral:rRNA from 1 species